CAGGAGAGGAAGGUAGAAUUCCCGGUGUAGCGGUGAAAUGCGUAGAGAUCGGGAGGAAUACCAGUGGCGAAGGCGGCCUUCUGGACUGACACUGACACUGAGGUGCGAAAGCGUGGGUAGCAAACAGGAUUAGAUACCCUGGUAGUCCACGCCGUAAACGAUGUCGACCAGCCGUUGGGUGCCUAGCGCACUUUGUGGCGAAGUUAACGCGAUAAGUCGACCGCCUGGGGAGUACGGCCGCAAGGUUAAAACUCAAAUGAAUUGACGGGGGCCCGCACAAGCGGUGGAGCAUGUGGUUUAAUUCGAUGCAACGCGAAGAACCUUACCUACUCUUGACAUCCUGCGAACUUGUGAGAGAUCACUUGGUGCCUUCGGGAGCGCAGAGACAGGCGCUGCAUGGCUGUCGUCAGCUCGUGUUGUGAAAUGUUGGGUUAAGUCCCGUAACGAGCGCAACCCUUGUCCUUAUUUGCCAGCGGGUAAUGCCGGGAACUCUAAGGAGACUGCCGGUGACAAACCGGAGGAAGGUGGGGACGACGUCAAGUCAUCAUGGCCCUUACGAGUAGGGCUACACACGUGCUACAAUGGCCGGUACAAAGGGUUGCGAGCUCGCGAGAGUCAGCUAAUCCCGAAAAGCCGGUCUCAGUCCGGAUCGGAGUCUGCAACUCGACUCCGUGAAGUCGGAAUCGCUAGUAAUCGUGAAUCAGAAUGUCACGGUGAAUACGUUCCCGGGCCUUGCACACACCGCCCGU
rnacentral:rRNA from 1 species